GACGAACGCUGGCGGCAGGCCUAACACAUGCAAGUCGAGCGAAGUCUUCGGACUUAGCGGCGGACGGGUGAGUAACGCGUGGGAACGUGCCCUGGGGUGCGGAACAACCGCUGGAAACGGCGGCUAAUACCGCAUGAUGUCCUUCGGGACCAAAGAUUUAUCGCCCUGGGAUCGGCCCGCGUCGGAUUAGGUAGUUGGUGGGGUAAUGGCCUACCAAGCCGAUGAUCCGUAGCUGGUUUGAGAGGAUGAUCAGCCACACUGGGACUGAGACACGGCCCAGACUCCUACGGGAGGCAGCAGUGGGGAAUCUUGGACAAUGGGGGCAACCCUGAUCCAGCCAUGCCGCGUGAGCGAUGAAGGCCUUAGGGUUGUAAAGCUCUUUCACCGGUGAAGAUAAUGACGGUAGCCGGAGAAGAAGCCCCGGCUAACUCCGUGCCAGCCGCCGCAGUAAGAC
rnacentral:rRNA from 1 species